GGACCUGACUGCUAUCGGAUUGAUACUAAGCCAUGUGAGUCAUUGUAGCAAUACAAGGCAGACGGCUCAGUAACACGUAGCCAAUCUACCCUAUGGACGGGGAUAACCUCGGGAAACUGAGGAUAAACCCCGAUAGAUCAUUAUGCCUGGAAUGGUUAAUGGUUCAAAUGAUUCGUCGCCGUAGGAUGGGACUGCGGCCUAUCAGCUUGUUGGUGAGGUAAUGGCCCACCAAGGCUAUUACAGGUACGGGCUCUGAGAGGAGAAGCCCGGAGAUGGGUACUGAGACACGGACCCAGGCCCUAUGGGGCGCAGCAGGCGAGAAACCUUUGCAAUGUGCGCAAGCACGACGAGGUUAAUCCGAGUGUUUCCUGCUAAAGGAAUCUUUUGUUAGUCCUAAAAACACUAGCGAAAUAAGGGGUGGGCAAGUUCUGGUGU
rnacentral:rRNA from 1 species